rnacentral:rRNA from 1 species
UACAGAGGUCUCAAGCGUUGUUCGGAUUCAUUGGGCGUAAAGGGUGCGUAGGUGGCGCUGUAAGUCGGGUGUGAAAUUUCGGAGCUUAACUCCGAAACUGCAUUCGAUACUGCGGUGCUUGAGGACUGGAGAGGAGACUGGAAUUCUCGGUGUAGAGGUGAAAUUCGUAGAUAUCGAGAGGAACACCAGUGGCGAAGGCGGCUUUCUGGACGAUCACUGACGCUGAGACGCGAAAGCGUGGGGAGCAAACAGG